rnacentral:lncRNA from 1 species
CUUAAUCUAACGGCUGAAAUUCAUUCUUUCAUUAUCAAAGACCUAGACACAAUUAGCAUUUUAAUUUUUCCAUUCUCUCUCCAAAACAGACGUUUCUUCUCCUCCCUUUCCUUUUCUUCACAAAUUCCAUUGUUGCUUAGCCAUGACAGACCUGCCAUUACCAUUUUUGAACAAGAAGCUCUGUACCUCAUUUAAUUUUAUUCAACAUCAACGUUCAAAUUUCAAAAACAUUCAAGAGCUUUUCAUUCAAUUUCGAAAUCCCGCCUAAACCAAGAACCCUAGAAAUCAGCCUAGAAAUACCCGCCUUUGAAGAGAUUUUCGACCAAGCUGAGAGCCGCCCCUUUUACCCCAAAAAUUGAAGGUCUUCGGUCGUUGCCUUCACCCGUUGAGACCAAACUUAGAGCCACCGCUCUUCCCCUCUAUAAAUUAUUCUAUGCUUAUUAACUGUUAUUCAUCUCAGAAAAGCUUCAUUCUUUUUUGACUCCACAACUAUUUCUGUUGGGUAUUUACCCUUGCAUAAAAUCGAUUAUCUUCAUUUAUUUUAGUCGAAUAUGCUUUUGUCCGAGAGGAAAGAGUGGUCUUAAAAUCAGAGUUCGAUAACGCAUCUAAGAUUCGUGCCUCGGUUCGUUGCUUCGCAACAGGUCAGUUUUCUUUCUAAACUGCAGUCUUCCCUUAUAUUGUUAUUAAACGUAAAGUAUGUGUUGUUUCGUCUUCUGUAGAAAUAACAUUCCUUAGUGAGUCGUGUUUUAGUUGUUUACUUACUAAACGUGAACAAGACGUAUUUGUUAAAAUUACUCUACAAAAUGGGUUAUGCCGUUUUAGCCAGGAAUUAUGAUCUAAGUAUAAGAGUCAUGUUUUAGGAGUUGUAUAGAAACUGUGCCUUUAAGCAUUUUAUAAGAUAGACCAUGUAUUUUUAAAAGAUUGAGUGGUCAGUGCUUUCUUCUUUUUAUCCUUCCCCUUUUCUUUCGAAUCUGCUAGUUUUGAAUAUUUUUUUGAUUUGGUUUAAGUUGAGAUUAAUUCAUGUCCUAUGUCCUAGAUAUCAUGAAAAAUAAGUAUUCGUCAUAUGUUUGAUAAAUAAUUAAGUUAAUAUGACAUUCUUGUAAUUCUUAGGUUUGUUAAAAGUAGUAUGUUAAGUGUUUUUUGUCUAAAUAUAUAGUAAUCAUGAUUUAGUUGAUGCCUAUGUCAUGUUUAAGACUCAUUUUAUUUAUAAAUUCACUCUUAUUUACUAGAGGUUUAUAAAUACUAUGCACAUAGGUCCCAUUAUUUUGCACAUAAUUUUAAGAGAGUAGAAUUCAUGUCUAGUUACCAUGUGUAUGCGAAAUUUACCAUGCCAAAUAAUGUCUUUUUUUUGUCUUAAGAGAGUUACAAUACCACAGAAUAAAAUCACGACAGAGGAAGAAUACAUAAACAACAAAAUGAUACGGCGCACAUCCCGAUCCCACCAUAUAACAAGUAAUAAUAUGAACAUUUACCCUUAUUACUCUUUGUUGCGGUGUGCAACCCGAUAUUACCAGUCCACCCUUAUUACUCCUCAUAUAUCACCCUUAUUCCUCCUGUUGCGGCGUGCAACCCGAUCCCACAUGUCCACCCUUAUUACUCCUUGUUACGGCGCAACCCAGUCCCACUAGACAAUCACAUUUCACUCUUAUUCCUCUUGUUGCAGCGUGCAACCCGAUCCCACUCUAUAAGUACCAAUCACAAAAUAAGAACAAGUAUUUCACAAUUUAUCUCAAAACCCUCCACAACAUUUAUACCUCAAACCGAAACAACGGGAAUUCUAUACAGUUAUGAAACUUCAUUAGUUAGUACUACACAGCGAGACCAACCAAAGUGUACCAUGAAGCACCAAUAAACCAACUUAAACCAAUAAUGUAAUAUAAUGAAACUACGGAACAAUUAAUACCUUCAAUAGAGAAAAUAACAUUUAACAAGAAGCAAUUAGACAUGGAAGCAUCAAUAAGCAAGUAGCAGUUAAGACAGGAAAACAAUAUACUAGGAACGGGGAAGGGAACAAGCAAAAUAGAUAAUUUUGCGGCGCAUAGGUACUCAUCACCACACCUAUACGCCACACACAUGGAAUUUCACAUAGCAACUAAGUCGAGGAUCCCUAAUCCCUCGAGUCAAGGUUAGACCAAACGCUUACCUCAAACCAACGGGCAAUUCAAAGCUCAAUUACCUCUUUACCUCUCGAUUCCACCUCUAAUCCACUCGUAUCUAGUCAUAAUUAACUUAAUAACAUCAAUUAUCGCCAAAGAAAUCAGUUCCAAUGCAUAACUAUAAGUUUCCCCACAUUUUUCCCAAAAAGACAAAAACUGACCCCGGGCUUGCUUAGUUAAAACUCAAAAUUCGGACAAAAACUCGAUUACCCAUUCACCCCGAGCCCGGAUAUACAAUUAGUUUUGGAAUCUGCAAAUCCCUAAAUUUCCAAAUUCCUAAGUUCUACCCAAAAACGACCAGUUCCACCAUGAAAAACCCUAGAUUCUAGGAUGAAAUCUUGUAAAAAGAUGUAUUAUAUUAAAAAUAAAUAAGUUAAGAAUCAUUACCUAUGAUUUGGGGAAGAAAUGGUCUUUGGAAAAUCGCCUCUUGAGGUUUAGGUUUUGAAAAUGGGAGAAUGAAUGAAAAAUCCCGUCUAAGUCUAAAGUUAUCAGCUGCAGAUGUCGCAUUUGCGACCUGAGCUUCGCAAUUGCUAAGCUCGCAAAUGCGAAGGACCAUAGAAAUUGCGAAGUCCUGCACAUUUCUGUUGCCUUUACAAUUGCGAAGUUAAAUUCGCAAAUGCGAUGAAAUGAUCGCAAUUGCUAUCCCUGCCCUUCCCAGUUUUACUUCGCAAAUACGAAGAAAUCUUCGCAAUUGCGAAGACUGCUUGGCCCAGCCUUCCUUCGCAUUUGCGAUGAAGGCCUCGCAAAUGCGAACCCUGACCUCGCAAUUGUGAGGCCUGAGGCCUGCAACACAGCUGAAGCAUACCAACUAUUUUUCUUAAGUCCAAAACACUCUGUAACUAUCCGAAACUCACCUGAGCCCUCGAGACUCCAAAAUAAACAUGCAUACAAGUCUUAAAACAUAUUACAAACUUGCUAAUGCGAUCAAAUCGCCAAAAUAACACCUAGAACUAUGAAUUUAGUACCACAUUGUAUGAAAUUUUUCAAGAUAGAUUCAAAACUUCUAUUUUUCUCAACCAAAGGUACGAAUCACGUUAAAUCAAUUCCAUUUUUCACCAAAUUUCACAGAUAAGGUUUAAAUAUCAUAAAGGACCUACACCGGGCUCCGGAAUCAAAAUACGGGCCCCAUACAACCAAGAUCAGAUCCUUUAAAUUAUUAUAUUUUCAGUCUUAUCAAUUUCCUUCAAAAAUUCAUUUCUCGGGCUAGGGACCUCGGAUUUCGAUUCCGGACAUACGCCCAGAUCCCAUAUUUUACAACGGAACCUCCAGGACCGUCGGAACACAGGUUCGGGUCCGUUUGCCCAAAAUGUUGAUCGAAGUCAACAAAAAUUAACUUUUUAGGCCAAAAAUCAUCAUUUCUUAAAUCUUUCACAUAAGGACUUUUCGGAUACACGCCCCGACUGCGCACACAAAUUGAGGAGAGGUAAAAAUGAGGGUUUUAAGUCCUCGGGACAUGGAUUCAAUUUUAAAAUAGAAGAUGACCCUUUGGGUCAUCACAUUCUCCACCUCUAAAAUAAACGUUCGUCCUCGAACGGAUAUAAAAAAGUAACUGGGAUAGUGAAAAGAUGGGGAUAUCUAUUUCGCAUAUCGGACUCAGACUCCCAGGUGGCUACCUUAAUAGGUUGACCUCUCCACUACACACGAACCGAAGGAUAACUUUUCGACCUCAACAGACAAACCUAUCGGUCUAGAAUAGCUAUCGGCUCCUCUUCGUAGGUCAAAUCCUUGUCCAGCUGGACUGUGCUGAAAUAUAACAUGUGGGAUUGAUCGCCGUGAUACUUUCGAAGCAUGGACACAUGAAACACUGGAUGUACUGCUGAUAAACUUGGUGGCAAUGCAAGUUUGUAGGCCACGUCUCCCACUCAUCAACGAUCUCAAAAGGUCUGAUGAUCCUAGGGCUUAACUUGCCCUUCUUCCCAAAUUGCAUCACACCCUUCAUGGGUGACACCCGAAGCAACACUCUCUCUCCGACCAUGAAUGCCAUAUCACGAAACUUAGGGUCGGCAUAACUCUUUUCCUAGACUGAGCAAUACGAAGUCUCUCCUGAAUGAUCUUAACCUUAUCCAAGGCAUCCCGUACUAAAUCUGUACCCAGUAACCGAGCCUCCUCGGCUCAAACCACCCAACCCGCGAUCGACAUCGUCUACCAUACAAUGCCUCAUAGGGAGCCAUCUGGAUGCUCGACUGAUAACUAUUGUUGUAGGCAAACUCUGCUAACAGCAAGAAUUGAUCCCACGAACCUCCAAAGUCAAUAACACAGGCGCGAAGCAUAUCCUCCAAGAUCUGAAUAGUACGCUCAAACUGUCCAUCCAUCUGAGGAUGAAAUACUGUGCACUACUAGACCCGCAUACCCAACUCACGCUGUACUGCCAUCCAGAAAUGCGAGGUAAACAGCGUACCUCGAUCAGAAAUGAUAGACACUGGCACACCAUGAAGACGAACGAUCUCAUGGAUAAAUAUCUUUGCCAACCGCUUCGAAGAAAUAGAAACUGCCAUAGGAAUGAAAUGCGCUAACUUAGUCAGCCUAUCCAUAAUAACGCAUACUGCAUCAAACCUCUGAGUCCGUGGGAGUCUAACAACGAAAUCCAUAGUGAUACGCUCCUAUUUCCACUCAGGAAUCUGAAUCUCCUGAAGCAAACCACCAGGUCUCUGAUGCUCGUACUUUACCUAUUGACAAUUCAAACAUCGAGCUACAUAUGCAACAAUAUCCUUCUUCAUCCUCCUCCACCAAUAAUGUUGCCACAAGUCCUAAUAUAUGUUAGCGGCGCCCGAAUGAAUAGAAUAUCGGGAACUAUGGGCCUCCUCUAGAAUCAACUCCCCAAGCCCAUCUACAUUAGGCAUACAAAUACGACUCUACAUCCUCAAAACUCUAUCAUCUCCAACUGUAACCUGCUUGGCAUCUCCGUACCGCACUGUGUCCCUAAGUACAAGCAAAUGAGGAUCAACAUAUUGCCGAUAUCUGAUAUGCUCAAACAAGGAAGAUCGAGCGACUGUACACGCUAGAACAUGACUGGGCUCAGAAACAUCCAACCUCACGAACUGAUUGGCCAAAGCCCGAACGUCUAAGGCAAGCGGUCUCUCACUAACUAGAAUAUACGCAGUGCUGCCCAUACUAGCUGACUUCCUACUCAAAGCAUCGGUCAUCACAUUGGCCUUCCUGGGAUGGUACAAGAUGGUGAUAUCAUAGUUUUUCAAUAGCUCCAACCACCUUCUCUGCCUCAAAUUGAGCUCUUUUUGUUUAAACAAAUACUGCAAACUCUUAUGAUCUGUGAACACCUUACAUGACACACCAUAUAAAUAAUGCCUCCAAAUCUUCAGCGCGUGAACAAUGGCUGCUAGCUCUAAGUCAUGAACUGGGUAAUUCUUCUCGUGAAUCUUCAACUGUCGUGAAGCAUACGCAAUAACCUUGCUAUUCUGCAUCAACACCACACCAAGUUCAAUACGAGAUGCAUCACAAUAUACUGUAUAGGGCCCUGAACCUGUGGACAACACCAACACCGGCACCAUAGUCAAAGCUGUCUUGAGCUUCUGAAAGCUCGCCUCACACUCGUCCGACCACCUAAAUGGGGCACCCUUAUGGGUCAACCUGGUCAUCGGGGCUGCUAUAGAUGAAAACCCCUCCAUAAACCGAUGGUAAUAACCUGCCAAACCUAAGAAACUUUGGAUCUCUGUAGCUGAUGUGGGUCUAGGCCAGUUCUUGACUGCCUCAAUCUUCUUAAGAUCUACCUGAUUACCCUCUACUGAUACAAGGUGACCCAAGAAAGCAACUGAACUCAACCAAAACUCACAUUUCGAAAACUUAGCAUAUAACUGGAUGUCUCUCUGAGUCUGAAGAACAAUCCUAAGAUGCCGCUCAUGCUCCUCUCGGCUGGGAAAUAGAUCAAGAUAUCAUCAAUGAAAAUAAUCAUGAAGGAAUCCAGAUAGGGCUUGAACACCCGAUUCAUCAAAUCCAUAAAUUUUGCUGGGCCAUUUGUCAAGCCAAAUGACAUCACUAGGAACUCAUAAUGCCCAUAUCGAGUCCGAAAAGUUGUCUUAGGGACAUCAGAUGCCCUAAUCCUCAACUGAUGGUAGCCAAACCUCAAAUCAAUUUUUGAAAACACCUUGGCACCCUGAAGCUGAUCAAGUAAGUCAUCAAUCCUCGACAAUGGAUACUUGUUCUUGAUGAUGACUUUGUUCAACUGCCGGUAAUCUAUGCACAUCCUCAUCGAUUCAUCAUUAUUCUUUACAAACAACAUGGGUGCACCCCAGGGUGAGACACUAGGUCUAAUAAAGCUCUUAUCAAGCAAAUCUUGCAACUGCUCCUUCAAUUCUUUCAACUCUAGCAGGUUCAUACAAUACAUAGGAAUAGAAAUGGGCUGAGUGCCCCGAGCCAAAUCAAUGCAAAAGUUGAUAUCCCUAUCGGGUGGCAUCCUCGGUAGGUCUACAGAAAUUACCUCUAGGAUCUCCCGAACAACUGGUACAGAAUUCAUGGAAGGAAACUCUGCACUAGAAUUACAAACAUAAGCCAAAUAAGCCAAACACCCCUUCUCGACCAUACACCAAGCCUUUAUAUAAGAGAUAACCAUGCUAGUAGAAUGACCAGGAGUCCCUCUCUACUCCAAUCGAGGAAACCCCGAUAAUACUAAGGUCACGAUAUUAGCGUGACAGUCCAAUAUAGCAUGAUAAGGUGACAGCUAAUCCAUCUUGAAAAUGACAUCGAAAUCAACCAUAUCGAAAAGUAGGAGAUUUAUGUUAGUCUCAAGACCCCCAAUAACAACCACAUACGAGCGAUAGACACAAUCUACAAUAUUAGAAUCCCCCACCGGUGUGAACACAUAUAUGAGAGAAUUCAAAGAAUCAUGAGGCAUAACCAAAUAUGAAGCAAAAUAAGAAAACACAUAGGAGUAUGUAUACCCUGGAUCAAAUAGAACUGAAGCAUCUUUAUUACCAACCGAAACAGUACUUGUGAUAACUGCAUUGGAGGACUCAGCCUCAGGCAUGGCUGGGAAAGCGUAACAUCAGGGAUGGGCCCCCAUCACUCUGAACCAUAUCUCUAGGAUGGCCUCGUGCUAGCUAGCCUCCACCUAUAAUGGCUUGGCCUCUACCUCUAAUGGCUUGAUACUGCGGCUGACCCUGACGAGCUGACUGACCGCGAUAAUAACUCUAAAAAGGAGGUGCUCUGAUAGGAGUUAGCAAUGCACUAUAAGUUGGCUGCCCUGAAGGAGGUACAUAAGGACCACAACCACCUGAAUCUCCAUGGGAUGUCUGAACUGCUGAAUGAAAUGGCCUGGGAGGAUGGCCCCUACCAAAAGUACCCUAACCUCCAGAUGAGGCCCCACUGAAUCCACCAAAGUGACGAGGCCUCUUGUCAGACCCUUGACCACUCCCCUUUGAUAGAACCAUCUCAACUCGUCUGGCUACAUUGGCUGCAUCCUGGAAAGAAAUCUCACUCCCUGACUCCUUAGCCAUCUGCAAUCUGAUAGGUUGAGCAAGUCCCUCAAUAAACCUUCUCACCCUCUCUCUCUCUCGAUAGGAAUUAUAAGAAGAGUGUGAUGGGCCAAAUCAACAAAUCUGGUCUCGUACUGAGUGACAGUCAUAGAACCCUGCUAAAGGCACUCAGACUACCUCUGAUAGUCCUCUUUUUGAGUGAUGGAAAGAUACUUAUCCAAAAAUAGCUGAGAGAACUGGUCCCAAGUGAGAGCUGGUGACCCAGUUGGUCUGGCCAAACAAUAAUCCCUUCACCAUUUCUUGGCAGAACCUGAGAAACGAAAGGCAUCAAAGUCGAUCCCAUUAAUCUCCACUAUCCACAUGUUCCGUAACACCUCAUGAAAACUAUCCUGAUAGUCCUGGGGAUCCUAUGAAGAUGUACCGACCUAGGUAACACUCUUCAUAAGGCCCACCAGAUGGACCAAAGCAUCAUGAAGUACAAGGGUAGCUAUGAACCCCUCUGGAACCUGAGUUGGCCCUGCUAGAACGGUCUGGGCCGGAGCCUCCUCAUCAAACUCUACAUGAGGCUCUGCCGCUGGUGCUCCUGCUUGAGCUCCAGGCUGAGCCCUGCCCCUGCCUCGGCCCCUAGCACGGCCUCAUUCUCGACCUCUGCCCCUCGUAGGAGCUGUUGUUGGGGGCUCGGGCUGCUGAUCAGCUGAUGAAGCGGUACACAUUCUCGCCAUCUCUGAAGGAAUAGAGUAAUAAGUUCAAUUAGCAUUGAGGGAUCAAAUCGUACGACAGAGAAGAAUAGAAGUGAAAAUGUUCUUAACUCUGUACCCUCUGGGGGAUAAGCAUAGACAUCUCCAUACCGAUCCCUCAGACUCUACUAAGCUUGUUCGUGAAUUGUGAGAUUUAGGCAACUUAGAGCUCUGAUACCAACUUGUCACGAUCCUAAUUUCCCAUAGUUGGGACUAUGAUGACGCCUAACAUCGCACUCGCUAGGCAAGCUAACGAUAGAGUUAUAAUAACCUUUUUCCAUUAAAUUUUCAUAGUUAAGAUUAACAAAAGCUAAUUCAAAUAGAAUUAAAUAGUAAGUACGUAUUUAACUGAUUAUCCUUAUACUAUUAACAAAACUGAACAAUUACCACCCAGAAACGGGUGUCAUAACUCACAAACGUUCUACGAAUAUACAAGUAUGGGUUUGAAAGAAAAAUACAUCUGUCUCAAAAGAAAAUAAAACAGAAAUGAGGAAAACAUAUGAGGUGAUGUCAGGGCCUGCGGACGCCUGCAGGACUACCAACCAGCUCCGAAAUCUGCACAGAAAGUGUAGUAUCAGUACAAUUGACCCCAUGUACUGGUAAGUGACAAGCCUAACCUCGACGAGGUAGUGACGAGGCUAAGGCGGAUCUUAUACAAUAUUAACCUGCAAUAGUAUAUAAUAAAGCAAAAAGGAAAUACGGAACAAAAUGGAACAGUAACUUGUAGUAAAUAAAUACUGAACCCAAAUAGUACUCAGGUAUAACCAAUCCUUUUACAAUACCACGGAAUAAAAUCACGAUAGUGGAAGAAUAAAUAAACAACAAAAUGAUGCGGCGCGCAUCCCGAUCCCACCAUAUAACAAGUAACAAUAUGAACAUUCACCCUUAUUACUCCUUGUUGCGGCAUGCAACUCGAUCCCACCAGUCCACCCUUAUUACUCCUCAUAUAUCACUCUUAUUCCACCUGCUGCAGCGUGCAACCCGAUCCCACCUGUCCACCCGGAUAACUAAGGAUUCUAGCUCUUUUUACUCGAGUUUUGGAUUAAAAAUAUAUACAAAUACUCUCAAAGGCUUACAUGUUGUACUUGUUUACAGGGUUUGGUCAAAAAGGUGAUAAUUAGUCAAAACUAGCUCAAAAAGGUUUGAAACAUGCACAAGUACCAAGAACAAGUCAAAGCACAGUUGCAACAGACCCACCGCGUCCGCAAGCCAUUUAGUGCAGUCCGCAAUGAGGAGAUUCAGAGAGGUGCACUUUUGCAGCCUAAGGCAAUGCGGUCCGCAAUGGAUUUAUUGCGGUCGCAGUAGCCUCUUUGUGGCCGCAAUCUAUUUUGUGCAGUCCGCGGAGAAGGGGGCCCAGAGAGUUGGGUGUUUGAAGAUAAAAGCCAAUGCGGUCUGCGGUACUUUUUGUGCGGACCGCAAUUGAAGCCACCGCGGCUGUGGUGCAUUUUAUGUGGCCCGCAGUAGCCAGAUUCAGAGAGUGAAUAGUCAAUCCAAGAAGCCUCAUCGCGGUCCGCGGUGCAUUUUAUGUCGACCGCAGUACCUCGUCAGGGGUAUAUUUGUCCAGAAAAUUUGGACUAGUAUAAAUACUUUCUUUUCACAUUUUUAUGGCAUCUUUUGUAAUCUAUUAGACUCCAAAGCACGUGAACGGCUAUUUUACUCUAUUUUGAGUAAUUUGUAGCUAGAUUAACACUGAAUAUACAUUAUCUUUGACUGUAAUUAAAUCUUAUGGGUUAUUCUUCAUCUAUUUCUCUGAUUUCUUCCAUUAUUAUGAGUAACUAGAACCAUUAGCUAGGGUUGUGGCUCAACCCUAGUGUGGGUAUUUGAUGGGUCUUUUGAUUUAAGGCUUAGAUGUUUAUGGGUAGUUGAUAUGUGGGUUGAUUUGUGUUUUCCAUGUUGAAUUAGUGGUUGCAAACACUAAUUUGUGCCUAUUUAACUUGGGCUCUUCUUGAAAAAGAGAGCUUGAGUCUAGGAAAAUUAGCCCAACAAGGAAUUGGAGUAUAAUCAAGAGAUUGAUAGCCCCAAUUAAAGGGGUAAACCUAGAGAUAGUAAUACCCGACUUGAACCUUUAUUGCUUGCACAAUUUUGAC